UCAGAGGGAUUGGGCGUGGUUACCUGGUUGUCAACAGGUGUGCAUGGUUAGAGAGAGGAAGGCAUUUGUUUUGUUUUUUGGUUGUUGGAGGACUUUUUGAAGGAGAAACAUGUUCAGCGAGGCUAUUUAAUAAACCAGUUAAGUGACUUUUUUUUUUGUACAACUUUUGGAAAGUGUUUGGACCGCGCUUGAGGACUCGGAGGCCACAUGGAGAACUGGACUGCAAGGGACCUGGAUUCCAAAAACUGCUUGCCAAGGGAGCGGGUAAAGGCUGGGGGAGACCGGGGAAGCGAGGAGUCGCUCCCGAGUCCAUGGGAGGACUGUUUGGCAUGUCAGAUCUGCUUGGCUGUGACAGUCAUCUUGCACAGCUGAGGCAGGACCGGAUUUUUUUACAUCCCUAAGCCGUUUUUCCCCCUGGCUGCACCUGAGCAGAACAUUUUGGUGUACCAUCAUGACAUUACUACUGCUGUAAUGGUCGAAGUUUCAAAAGAACCAAAGAAACAAAAAGUUUUGCCGAGGAGACAAACUGACCGGGAUUGAAAAAGGACAGUUAGGAUCAUCAUUGCCCCGGUUUUCGCUCGCUGGCGUGAGCUCAAAGAUGAGGAGGGAUCUUUGGCUCUGUUCCUGGUGAUCGAGACACUGAUUCAGUCCAAACGCAUUGGAAGAUCCUUGCAUCUGUGCCCUGGAUUCCGGUGGUCUGGGCGUGGAGAGGCUCGGAGAAGGAACUGGAGAUUUGGAGGGCCCAAAACACAGAGACACUCCAGGGAGAACCGGGGGACAGGUCACCGGUUACUCGGGACGCCCUUCAGUCUCUGGGACUUCAUUGAGUUUCACAAAUUCUGUGACGAUUCGCUGGCAUCGUGGUGAUGCGGGUGCGUUCUCUCAUGAUGCAGUCGGACUUGGAC